GUGAUUCAGUUAAAAACCCAAAUGGCAUUGGGGCUUGGAUGCUUCAAGGACCAACUUCUAUCUCACUAACCUUGCUGAAAUUUAUAUUUAUCAGCAAUAUUUUGCCACCUUCUGAAAGAAGUUGGGUGGCAAACGAAGAAGAAGUUUCUAAAACAGCCUCAUCAGAAAGGUUUGCCUGGCACUAAAUUUCACAUCUUUUGGCUGGAAAGUCAAUAUUACCCUUUUUUAGGGUUUUCAGCAUGUUAGUACAGGAGUUUUUAACUACUGUACAUACUCAUGUAUAAGUCUAAACAAUUGACCACACAAAACCUGCAUCAACUUAGCCGUGGGUCCUUUUAAGUAUUGUAGCUUAACUGUUAUAAAAAUGAAACCAUCUCUGAGCACAGUGACAAAAAGUGAGCGCUUAGUCCAUCUUAGAAUUUAAAAUACCCACUGCCACAAAGUUCUUGGAUACAUUUUUCUAGCUGACCCGUUGAAAUCAGCCACCAUUUACCAUAUUUACUCACUAGAGGGAGGUAUUUCUAUAUGUGCUCAGCACUGAAGCAUCUUGUUCCAAAAAAGGAAGCCCUCUCGUUUUGGAUGAACAGGUAACAUUUACCUAGCCUACACACAACAAACUAUUUCUAACAACCAGAGCUUUUGAUUAUGUAAGAUUAUUUAAUAGACAAAAGGUUUCUUCAAAGCCUCCAAAGGUAAGUGAACUUUUUUUUUCAAACCUAGGCAAAUACGGCACAAACAGUUCAGAGUACAUGUCAACUGCAUUUAUUGCAGUCUGCUACUCUUACUCAUAAUUUCUGCAGUAAAUGUCAAUGAUUGGGCAUCAAAUAUUCUGCCAAAAAUGUCAGUUUGGGCUAUAUCCUAAUAACUUUUGUUGCACUGCAUGCCUAGCUAUGCCCAUGGGUAUUCAAAAAUAUUAACCAUUGUUCAAAUUCAGACAGGAAAUGUUCAUGAAACUGCAAGCAAAAAUAAUUACAGUAUAAGACACAGAGCUGUUCUGACUUGUAUGUAAUUACAUUAUUCCACAAGGAACACCAAAAAGAUAUAUUGUAUGAAGCAAAUCAUGUGAUUAACUUACUUGAUGUGGAAUAUUAUGGCCCUUUGAUUGCAAUGGACCUUUGUGGUUUGAAAGUAAUUAGUAAUUUUUGUUUUGCUUUGUUUUGUCCUCAGGCAGAGUAACAAAUUAGGUGACUUCCCUCUUCUUGACAUGGCAGGCAAUGAUACAUGGGACUAAUCUCACUGCAACAGAGUUUAGUGUUGCAACACUGAUAGUCAAAUACCCUGUAUUAAUAUAAUAAAUAAAGUACAGGUUAAGAGAGGUGAACUAGUAGCAGGUUCUGUUCAGUGUCCAUCUUACAUUGACAUCACUGGGGCAUACACUGGCUGGAAUCCUGUUCAACAUACUAUAUUACAUACUAGCUGUGCCCAGCCACACGUUGCUGUGGCGUUGUCUGGUGGUGUUGGUGAGAAAUUGUUGAGGUAGUGGUGGUAUUGAAUGUCUGUUGUAUGAUUGUCUUUAUGUUUAGUAUGCAUUUGGUUGUUUGUGUACUGUGAAAGUGGUGAGGGUAGAAGGGGUCUAUGUCCCUGUGUAGUAUUGUAUAGUAUUUAUACGUUGUCCAAGUGUUGUGAAUGCUUGGAUUGUGUCCUGCUGUAUAGUAGAAAGGGUUGGGCUGGAUGGCCCUUAGGGAUCUCUCCAAACUCUUGGAUUCUAUGCUAUUAUUAUUAUUAUUAUUAUUAUUAUUAUUAUUAUUAUUAUUAUUAUUAUUAUUAUCUUCAUCAUCAUUAUUAUGUAGAGGCUGGAUGGCCAUCUGUCAGGAGUGCUUGGUUUGUGUCGUCCUGCAUGGUAGAAGGAAGUUGAUCUGGAUGAUCCUUAGGGGUCACUCCAAACCUUAGGAUUGUAUUAUGUUGUUGUUAUUAUUAUUAUUAUUAUUAUUAGUAGUAGUAGUAGUACUAGCAGUAGUAGUAUUAGGCUGGGUGGCCAUCUUUCGGAGUUCUUGGAUUGUGUUCUGCAUGGCAGAAUUGGGUUGGACUGGAUGGUCUUUAGGGGUGUCUCCUAACUGUCUGAUGCUAUGAUUCGAUGUGUAUUAUUACUGUGCAGAUAUUGGAUGGGCAUCUGUCAGGAGUGGUUGGAUUGUGUCCUCCUGCAUGAUAUAAGGAAGUUGAACUGGAUGAUCCUUAGGGGUAUCUGCUAACCUUAGGAUUGUAUGAUAUUCUUAUUCUUCUUAUUAUUAUUAUUGAGAGGCUGGCUGGCCAUCUGUUGGGAGUGCUUGGGUUGUAUCGUCCAAUGGCAGAGUUGGGUUGGACUGGAUGGCCUUUAGGGGUCUCUCCUAACUGUCUGAUUCUAUGAUUUGAUUUGUAUUAUUACUGUGCAGAUCUUGGAUGGCCAUCUGUCAGGAGUGCUUGGUUUGUGUCGUCCUGCAUGGUAGAAGGAAGUUGAUCUGGAUGAUCCUUAGGGGUCACUCCAAACCUUAGGAUUGUAUUAUGUUGUUGUUAUUAUUAUUAUUAGUAGUAGUAGCAGUAGUAGUAUUAAGCUGGGUGGCCAUCUUUCGGGAGUUCUUGGAUUGUGUUCUGCAUGGCAGAAUUGGGUUGGACUGGAUGGUCUUUAGGGGUGUCUCCUAACUGUCUGAUGCUAUGAUUCGAUGUGUAUUAUUACUGUGCAGAUAUUGGAUGGGCAUCUGUCAGGAGUGGUUGGAUUGUGUCCUCCUGCAUGAUAUAAGGAAGUUGAACUGGAUGAUCCUUAGGGGUGUCUCCUAACCUUAUGAUUGUAUGAUAUUCUUAUUCUUAUUCUUAUUCUUAUUGAGAGCCUGAGUGGCCAUCUGUUGGGCAUGCUUGGAUUGCAGAAUUGGGUUGGACUGGAUUACCACAGUAAUUAUUUCAUAUUACAGUAAAAUCUCACUUAUCCAACAUUCGCUUAUCCAGUGUUCUGGAUUAUCCAUCGCAGUCUGCCUUUUAGUAGUCAAUAUUUUUGUAGUCAAUGUUUUAAAUUCAUUGUGAUAUUUUGGUGCUAAAUUUGUAAAUACAGUAAUUACAACAUAGCAUUACUGAGCAUUGAACUACUUUUUCUGUCAAAUUUGUUGUAUAACAUGAUGUUUGGUGCUUAAUUUGUAUAAUGAUUUCCUAAUUUGAUGUUUAAUCAGCUUUUCCUGAAUUCCUUCUUAUUAUCCAACAUAUUCACUUAUCCAACGUUCUGCCGGCCUGUUUAUGUUGGAUAAGUGAGACUCUACUGUAUAUUUAUAAUCUUAUAUUAUCUGCUUAGAACUGGAUUAUAUGAGGCUCCUUCUACACAGCUUCAUAAAAUGCACCCUGAAGUGAUUUAUCUGGCAGUGUGGACUCAAGAUAAUACAGUUCUAAGCAGAUAAUAUAAGAUUAUAAAUGGGUAAUAUAGCUGUGUGGAAGGGCCUUGAGUCUACACUGCCAUAUAAUCCAGUUAAACUCUGAUAAUCUGUAUCUUAUAGGCAGUGUGGAAGAGGUCUGAGGCCUAACUGUGCCUGUCCCCUGGCCUGAGUAGGUUGCUAGGAGACCAAGUGGGCAGAGUUUAGCCUUGUAACUGGCAGCAAUUGGAUAAGAAACAAUUGUUCCUUUCCCUCUAAUUAGGACUUUAUUUUUCUUUUCUUUUUGUUGUAUGAACGUAGAGGCAUGGAUGAGGGGUUGUGUUGCCAAGUUUAGUGUUUCUGGGAUGUGUAGUUUUGUUGUUUUGUCCUAGGCCGAAUUUUUUUUAUCUUUUUAUAUAUAUACUAGCUGUGCCCGGCCACGCGUUGCUGUGGCUUAGUCUGGUGGUGUUGGUCAGUCUACAUUAGGUUGUAUUUAUGCUGUGACCUCCACCCUUCUUUAUACUCACAUUAGUAGUAGUAUUUGAAGUCUGUUACCUUCUUCAAUUUUUGUGUUGAUUGAUAAUUGCUUGAGAUCCCUGUUGUCUUUGGUUUCUUGUUAGUUGUAAUGUCUGAUUCUGCUGAAUGCGGUUUAUAUUUUUAUUGUGGUACAAUAGUCUUUUUUUUGUUUUGCCUGUGUAGGUGUUUAUUAUUGUUGUUGUUGUUGUGGUCAUGAAGGUUGGAUAAGUUAGAUGCUACUGUAUUGUUUUUUGGAGGCCCAGUGUAGCACUGACUGGCCUCUCAGCCUCAGUGCCUGGCUGUUUCUUGCCUGUGAUGGUGUUGAUUCUUAUUGUUGUUGUUGUUGUCAUUGUUAUUAUUGUAAUUGUUUUUUUGGAAGCCAAGUGUGAAUGUAGGGAUUGGGGAGGUGGAUGAGUUGUGUUGUCAAAUUUUGUAUUUGUUAUAGUCACAAUGCGUUGUUGUGAGUUUUGUGGGUCCGGAUUGUGGUUUUGUGGUGUGGUUGUGUUGUUACAACUGAGAGGCAAGGCUUUUGUGUUGUGUUGCCAAGUUUUGUAUUUCUGGGGCGUUUAGUUGUGUGCCAAGUUUUGUAUUUCUGGGGCGUUUAGUUGUGUUGUUAUAGUCACGAUGCACUGUUGUGAGUUUUGUGGGUCCAGUGUGGUUUUGUGGUGUGGUUGUGUUGUUACAACUGGGAGGCAAGGCUUUUGCGUUGUCAAAUUUUGUAUUUCUGGGGCGUUUAGUUGUGUUAUAGUCACGAUGCAUUGUUGUGAGUUUUGUGGGUCCGGAUUGUGGUUUUGUGGUUUAGUUGUGUUGUUACAACCAGGAGAAAAGGCUUUUGUGUUGUGUAGUCAAGUUUUGUAUUUCUGGGGCAUUUAGUUGUGUGCCAAGUUUCGUAUUUCUGGGGCGUUUAGUUGUGUUGUUAUAGUCACGAUGCAUUGUUGUGAGUUUUGUGGGUCUGGAUUGUGGUUUUGUGGUGUGCUUGUGUUGUUACAACCGGGAGGCAAGGCUUUUGCGUCGUGUUGUCAAGUUUUAUAUUUCUGGGGCGUUUAGUUGUGUGCCAAGUUUCGUAUUUCUGGGGCGUUUAGUUGUGUUGUUAUAGUCACGAUGCAUUGUUGUGAGUUUUAUGGGUCUGGAUUGUGGUUUUGUGGUGUGGCUGUGUUGUUACAACCUGGAGGGAAGGCUUUUGCAUUGUGUUGCGAAGUUUCGUAUUUCUGGGGCGUUUAGUUGUGUUGUUAUAGUCACGAUGCGUUGUUGUGAGUUUUGUGGGUCCUGUGUGGUUUUGUGGUGUGGUUGUGUUGUUACAACUGGGAGGCAAGGCUUUUGCAUUGUGUUGCCAAAUUUUGUAUUUCUGGGGCGUUUAGUUGUGUUGUUAUCGCAUGAUGCGUUGUUGUGAGUUUUGUGGGUCUGGAUUGUGGUUUUGUGGUGUGGUUGUGUUGUUGUAACCUGGAGGCAAGCCUUUUGCAUUGUGUUGCCAAGUUUCGUAUUUCUGGGAUGUUUAGUUUUGUUGUUAUAGUCACUGCGCCCGCAACUUUAUCCUUUUAUAUAUAUAGAUAGAUUGUAUAUACUGAACUAUGUAGAAUUGGUGCUAAGAAACUCAUUCAUAAUGAGGCAAAAUGUUCCAUAAUUGUUGCUAUAAAUUUUAUCAGAUUCUCAAAGCUUGGAUGACUCCUCAGAGGGCUGUCUGGAGGUUUGUUGACAGAUGAAUGUGACCAUUCCUGCUCCAUUUUGUUGCUCUUUAGUCCUUCCGCUUGGGUUUUCCCCCCUUAUUUAAAAUAGGCAUUAUUUUUGCUGCCAACAUUUUCCAAUAAAACAAGUCUAAGUCAUCUUAUGACCACCAGGUUGAAACCAGCUAGUCAGCCCCAAGUGACAACCCAACAGGGGUUCAUAAGCCUUCGCUUCCAUUUUAUGCUGGAAGCUGAAAGAUUAGGAAAACUCAGGGCAGUGGUCCAAAAAUAGCUAAGCUGCAUUUGGCUUUGUGGGCUUGGAGCUUGAAAAUAAAAUAAUCUGGGUGAUCACAUUAUAUUUCAUAUCUUUCUUCACUCUUAGAAGUGAUUUAUUUCUUGUGAAACAGAGGGAAACCUCCUGCAGUGUAGCACCCACAUUGUGGAUUGAGCAUGUCGGCUUCCAAUAUCAGAUGUUUCAACAACUGAAGCCAUCUUUGUUUGUCCAGACAUUUUAAUGGUUAACUUUGGCUAUUAUCCAUAGGGCUUCUCAUAAUUAUAAUGAAAUGCUUAUCUUUUUAUUGUAUUGUUUUAAACAUGUUGCAAUUCUUGAGUCUUAUUAUUGCAAAAUACUUUUUAAUGCAUCAUAUAAAUAUGUUCAACAAGAACAAUUCUACAUUAUGGCCUCUUUGCAAAUAUGAGAAUCUGGUUUGCACAGGAUAUGCUCAAUCUGAGGGCGUAUUACUCAGUGGUCAGAAAGGUCAUCACUUGAAAAUACAGCAUAUGUUUUGAAUGUAAAAGGUUCCCAGUUCAACCACAGGCAUCUUCAGCUAAAAGAGCCUGGUGGCAAGGCGUGGGUGAGACCUUUCUUCCAAAGACCUCAAGCAACUAUUGUCAAUCAAAGUCAACAAACACAAGGCUGGCUGGACAAAUAGUUUAACCUGGUUUACUACAAUAUUUUUUGGGGGGAGGGGGGUUAUCUCUUCUUUCAAACAAAAAAGCAACCAACCUAAGCAUUUCCUCAUUGGCUCAAUUAUUCAAUGUGGAAAGGAGAAAUGAGUCUAUACUAUCCUAUCAUCGUCAUUAUUUUCACCCUCUGACAUUAUCAGCAUUGCCUUUGUAUACACAGGAUUAGUACUUCUGGCAUUUCCUCAGUGCUGAUCAUUUCUGACAAGUGUCCAUGCCUCUAGCAGCUGUGUGAUGGACAGAAAUUUGACAGGUAUGGCUUUCUCCUCAUAGUAUCUCUGUGCCAUGGACAAAAGACCAUUCUAUCAGUCACACUACUAAGUCUACAGGAACCCUCCAAGGGUCUCAGUCAUGCUGUGACACACAAUGAUGUCCAAGGGUGUGUAGCAAGAAUACCCUCAGGUUCUCAGCUUGUAUAAAUAAUAAUAGUUGGCCUAGGAUUCACUUGCUUCAGGCAUCAGGAAAAUAAGUGCUCAGUUCCCAUUCCAAGUAGAUGAUUCCUGUUUAAAGCAAAAAAAAAAACCCAACCCUAGAUAUAUUUAUAUAUUUAGUAUUCACUUUGAACAUAUUCUGUACCUCUCAAAGUGGAGGUCAUCCCAUACAACCUUUAAUUUAUCUUUGUGGAUUUUGUGAAAUGCUUUACUGUACAAUGGUGAAUCCCUAAUUUUUGUGAAUGUUUUUAAAGUAAUUAUCUGGAUCUUGGUUUGGGUUGAAUUUGGUGUGUGUGUGUGUGUGUUUUUAAAAAAAUCUGCUUUUUUUGUCGUACUUAGAAAUGCAUCUUAUGGCACUCAGUGUGAAUUAUUCAAAACUAAGUGUGUAUGAGAUUGUAGCCAUUUGAUUCUAUUUGCUUCUGGCUUCAUUUGUUGUGUUAUUUAGUUUGAAGAUUUUAGUUCUGUUAGUUCUAAUUUUUUAUAAGCUAUUUAGGUAGGAACAAGAUGACUUUUAAGACUGAAAAGCAGGUUGUCUAUGUAUCAUAUGUGUGUAUGCAUGCAUUUAUGCAUAUGUGUAUAUGUGUGUGUGAAUAGAAGGCUUUUUCUUCUUAUUUUGGUACCUAGAUGUCUGCAUCUGUUAGGUGCAGAAGCUGAAGAGAUCAAGAAAAGGUGGCGAGAAUAUACAGAUCUGUAUAGGAAGAAUAAUAAUAUAGAGGAUAGCUUUGACGGUGUGGUGAGUGAAUUAGAACCAGACAUCCUGAGGAGUGAGGUUGAAUGGGCCUUAAGAAGCAUUGCUAACAAAAACGCAGCAGGAGACGAUGGGAUCCCAGCUGAGCUGUUUAAAAUCUUGGAAGAUUCAAGAUCCAGCACUCUUUGACAGGGAAGGCUAAAAACCUUGUAAAACUACAAAAAUGAUGAUUCCAUAGCAUUGGACCAUGGCAGUUAAAAUGGUGCCAAGAUGAUAUCAGCAGGGAUGAUCAGCAGCAGAGUUCCUUUCAUUAAUGCUGAUGCAGGAGGACUGGCAGGCGAAAGCUCCCCACAGAAGCCCCUGGGUCAUCCCCCGCCUUUCCAAACAGGAAGAAUGGAGGACAAGCUGACAGAGAAAGGUGAUGAUGUGACAUCUGACCAGGACUUGGAUCAAUCACCAGGGAAGAAGAAGAGGCAGUUGCUGUGGAAGUAAAAUAUUUGCUUGCAGGGAUAGAGUCUAGCUCAUGAAUCCAUACUUCUGCACUGCUUCCAGGAAUGAUCUCUGACUUGCAGCCAAAGUUUUGUCUGCAGAGAUAGAGAACAACCACUGAUUCUAUAUUGCUUGUGAUGUAAUCCAAUAUUGUUGCACCCAUGACUGAUGCUUCUAGUUUGCAGUCUGCAUCUUGAGACAUAAGGCUAACAGCAGAUCCAUUGAUUUGGGGAGUUUUUAUCCUCUCAUCUCAAUAUUUUUGUACAUCUUAGGGACUUUAAUAUACAACCCUUUUGUUUUUACAUAUUGACCACAAGACUGCUUUCCCUUUUAUUUGCUCCUAGCCAUAGCUAAGUGAUCACACAAUCCAAAAGUGCAUGUAACCUACUCUUUUUCCUCAAGUGCUUCCCAAUGUGGAGAUGGCUAACAUAGACCUGCACUAUGUUGCUAAAAGCAAGGCAAAAAUACUUAUAGCAUUAGAUAGACCAUAUAUCUUCAUGUAUAAGUCGACUUCAUGUAUAAGUUGAGGACAGGUUUUUGGGUCACAAUUAUAAAUUUUGAUAUGAUCCAUGGAUAAUGAUGCUGGGGGAAAUAGAAGGAAAAAGGAAAAGGGGCCAACCAAGGGCAAGAUGGAUGGAUGGUAUCCUUGAAGCGACUAGCUUCACCUUGAAGGAGCUGGAGGUGGCGACGGUUGACAGGGUGCUCUGGUGUGGGAUGGUUCAUGAGGUCACAAAAAGUCAGAAGUGACUGAACGAAUAAACAACAACAUGAUUCUUGGAUAAGUUGAUGACCAUUUGGUGUGGCAGGGAAAGCACCAUUGCUGCCUCUACACAGAAUGGAAGAGUAAUGGACACAACACUCAUUACAUGCACUGGUGUGCAAUGGGACCAGUAUGUAUUGGCCCUAUUAUGCAUAAGUCUUACUGUGUUACCUUGCUGCUCCUGCUACAUAAUAAUGCAACCAUCGUUAGUGGGGUUUGCAGUGGUCCCUGGGUGUGGGUGAACUGCAACUCCCAUUACCCCAGGUCGGUUCCCUCUCCCCCCCCCCCCCCCCUCAAAAUAAAACUGCACCAGUACAUAAAGUUGGUCAUGAGGGGCAUGUGUGCCAGGUUUAUUCCAGAUCCUUCAUCAGUGGGGUGCACAGUGCUCUCUGGACGUUCUCCCUGAAUGUGAGGUGAACUGCAAUUCCCAUAAUCCAGGGUCAAUUCCCCCUCCCUCAUCCUCUCCAGUAUUUUCUGUUGGCCAUAGAGGGGUUCCGUAUGGCAAAUUUGGCCCAGGUCCAUUGUUUGCAGAAGUCACAGGAGUCUCUGGAAGUAGGAGCCAUCUUGAAAAAUACAUACAUACAUGCAUAUUUUCAUUUCUAUAUGUAUAGAUCUGGAUUUAUAUAGAGAGAUCUGGAUUUCAUAUUAUUAAAUGGACAAAGAAAAUAUAUAUUGCAGAUAAUAAUAUAUAAACAAGGGAAAAAGUGUUUCUAAUUACAUCAAUCUUCCUGACAGAAGGUUUCCCCAAGCUGAAGCAGUUGCAAUCUAGUAUAGCUGUAUGAAACUUUUGUUAUAUUGCAUCAACAAAAGCUUUUACUUCAAAAUUAACAAUAGAAAGAGUGAGACAGUUAAUGAAGGGACAGCAUUAGUUCUUGCCAUUAAUCCUCAGCACUGGAGAAACAAUUAGGCAGGAACACUGUAGAUCCAUAAUGUCAUAUAUUGUGGGUACAGUGACAUUUCUUUUGCUGGUGGAAAUCUGGAGGAGAUCUAAGUCUCCCAGGGCCAGCUGAUUCAUUGAAAGGAAAAAAAAGAAGUGGGUAAUGGAGGCACCAGCUGCCUCUGAAAGCAGUUCUAGGAUGAAAUGAACAGAUGUGUGGGUGACAAUAUAGGGGCAUCCAGUACAGUUUAAUUUCAGCCUGCUCUGGAAGAAUGCAAAAAAAAAAUUAUAGUAAUUUGUCCAAAUAUACUGGCAAGGGCGGUAUAGAAGUCUCAGGAACACAGAAGCUUGCAGAUAGAAAAGAUACUUUGCGAAACUCAUGCACCGAGUUUCUGUCUAACCCAGUGGUUCUCAACUUGUGAGUCCCCAGAUGUUUUGGCCUUCAACUCCUAGACAUCCUAACAGCUGGUAAACUGGCUGGGAUUUCUGGGAGUUAUUGGCCAAAACACCUGGGGUUGCAGUAAACAAUACAGAGAAGGGAUUCCCCAAAGUACAAAGGCAAGAGGCCACUACAAACAGAAAUAUAAUCCAAUAAUAUAAAUCAUAAGACAGUUUUUCAUGUGUGUGUGUGUGUGUGUAUGCUAUAGUCAUGGAAUAUUUAAUGUGCAGACAAGGAUUGUGGGGACCCACAGGUUGAGAACCACUGUCUAACCUCAAGCCAGUGCAUAGAACAAAUUCAUAAGUAUUUGUAUCUGUCUGGUCUGUGAAAGUUUCAUACGACUUUGGUUACAGUACUUAAAGUUGACGUAUAGCACAAUGCUGUGAAGGUUUAGACAAGAGUAAGAUGUAAACAUUAGGCAUGUGCGAAUUAAUCAGAAUCGUCGUAAAUCGGAUUAAAAACGUAUUUUAUCCGAUUUGCGAAUGGGAUUCCAACUCGCAUUAUCGCUUUGGAAAAAACCCAUGAUUUUGAAGCUUUGGAGCCCAAUCAUUCAAUGGGCUCGGAAACAUGUUCAGAAAUAUGAGGAAGGAUUUUGAAUACAACCAAACUUGAUUUUCAGGGAGAAGCAGCCUAGCCUGGACUUGCCUCCUUGACCAAUCAUUUUGCACCUUCAUGCAAGGGGAGGGGUUUUGACGUCCUCCCUGAAAAGCGCCCCAUGCAAGCCACGAGGCUCAUUCUGGGCUGGGAGGCUGGAGGGAGAGGUUGGCUGCGGCUGCUGACUGGUCUUUCCUUUUGCUGCCUGACUCACAGAUUGCCUGCCUGGCCUGUUGUUGUGGGGCAGCCACUGAAGGAAGAACUUAAUCAAGAAAAAAGGGGAGGGAAAGGGAGUAAUUUUUUUCUUUUAAAAUUCUAAAAUAAAGAAGCAAAAGAAGUAACGUUUUAUUUUUGAGAAAAAAUGUGGGAGUAGGGAGGGCAAAACUUACUUCAAGUAUCUGAUGUAUUUUAUUUUAAAAUCAAGCAAGCAGCUAGAAGAAGCUUUUAUUUUUUGGAUAAUAAAGUGGGGGUGGUAUCUUGGUACUAGGGGGAAAGGCUUAUUUUAUAUUUAUUUGUUUGACCUCAAGGCACUGCAUGUCCCAUCACUCACAGAAUCCCUCUCUGCUGGGUGCUCUAAGUCUGGAGAACCCGGCCAAGUUACAUUGGUGAAUCCUUUGGGUUCAACCAAGGCCUUGCCUCUCUUGCUUUGUGUGUUUGUUUGAUUGACCUCCUCAAGGCAUUGCAUGUCCCAUCACUCAUAGAAUCCCUCUCUUCUAGGUGCUCUAAGUCUGGGGAACCCAGCCAAGUUACAUUGGUGAAUCCUUUGGGUUCAACCAAGGCCCUGCGUCUCUUGUUUUGUGUGUUUGAUUGGCCUCAAGGCACUGCGUGUCCCAUCACUCACAGAAUCCCUCUCUGUCGGGUGCUCUAAGUCUGGGGAACCCAGCCAAGUUACAUUGGUGAAUCCUUUGGGUUCAACUAAGGCCCUGCGUCUCUUGUUUUGUGUGUUUGAUUGGCCUCAAGGCAUUGUGUGUCCCAUCACUCACAGAAUCCCUCUCUGCUGGAGUGGAUUCCCUAAGUCUGGGGAUCCCAGCCACGUUACACAUAGCUGAAUCCUUCUUUGGGUUCAAGCCCUCAGGGUUCAAGUAACAAACUCUCUUCCCCCAAAAGCCAUAUGAAAUGGGAAAUAAUACUUUCAAACCAGGAACAGAUUUCCUUAACCUGAGGCCGAUGAGCAUCUGUCGGGAGUGGUUUGAUGAUGUGCUAUGAUUUCUGUUCCUGGUUGGUAACUGUCACUCCCUAAUUGGUUCUGUCACAAAAACAUGUCAAAACUUUAUUACACUGCUAGAACUUUGUCUUUGCGCAAGGGACAUUGUGCUAUGAUAGCACAUUAUGGUUUGCUGGGUGUCCACUGUCCACCAAUUUAACAGAGUUUCAACCACAGAAACAGAGUUUCCAAAGUAGAACAAUGACUUUCAAAGUAAAUACAACCCAAUGAAAAAGGAAAUAAAAUUUCAAACCAGGAACAAAUUUCUGCAAUUAUUAAAAAUGGUUUUGUAUAUAAACUAUGAAAAUUUGCCAAAAAUCAGAGGAUAAGGGAAACGUUCUGAAAUUUGGUGAGCUAACGGUGGUAAAUGGGUUCUACCACUAUAGCAAGUUUCAUCAGGAUAAUUCAAAAAUGUGAGUGGGAAAGUCCUCUAAAGUCCCCCCCUCCAGUGCGGUUUUUCGCUAUUGCUCAUGCAAAUCUGCCAUUAAUGAAUUAAUUACAAAUAGUCCGAAUUUUUGGAAAGUUUUGAAUUUUUUGCUUCAAAAUUCAGAAAAGACUUUAGAAACGAAGCGCUAGCACCCCCUACUUUUGAACUGAGUUUAGAACCAUUUUUUUCCUGGAUCGCACAUGCCUAGUAAAUAUCAUUGUACAUGCUUGACUCUCCCUUAAAAAUCUGGAACUGCAAUAAAUUGAAGCAAUCCUCCCAUUAAGUCAAAACGACAAAGAGUACAGUACAACAUAAUCUGAGAAUAGCAAGUUUUGUUCUGCAUACAUUUUGGUCAACUUUAGGCACCCUACACAAGAUAAUGUUAAUGAUGAUACAAUACAUUUUGGAGUAACAUGGGGGUAAUAACAUUAUUGUUGAAAAAUACUGUAAUUACUCAUGAGAUUUUUAAAAACUUUUUUAUAACAAAUAGUUUACUCCAGUAGUUCUCAACCUGCGGGUCCUCAGAUGUUUUGGCCUUCAACUUCCAAAGAUCCUAACAGCUGGUAAACUGGCCGGGAUUUCUGGGAGUUGUAGGCCAAAACACCUGGAGACCCAC